UACCUGCAGCUCAAGUGGUGACCGCUAUUAUUGGGCCUAAAACGUUCGUAGCCGGUUUGGUAAAUGCCUGGGUAAAUCGUGUAGCUCAACUAUACGAAUUCCGGGUAGACUGUCAAACUUGAGACCGGGAGAAGCUAGAGGUACUCCUGGGGUAGAGGUGAAAUUCUGUAAUCCUGGGGGGACCACCAGUGGCGAAGGCGUCUAGCUAGAACGGGUUUGACGGUGAGGAACGAAGCCCUGGGGCGCAAACCGGAUUAGAUACCCGGGUAGUCCAGGGUGUAAACGCUGCUUGCUUGAUGUUAGUUGGGCUCCGAGCCCAAUUAGUGUCGGAGAGAAGUUGUUAAGCAAGCUGCCUGGGAAGUACGAUCGCAAGAUUGAAACUUAAAGGAAUUGGGCGGGGGAGCACAGCAACGGGUGGAGCGUGCGGUUU
rnacentral:rRNA from 1 species